rnacentral:rRNA from 1 species
CUCGCUGUCCUCGGUUAUUCAGAGAGUCUAGCGAAUCUGUACACUGCAGAACUUCGGGCCAAAUGGCUGCCGCAUUUCAAUGAUGGUGGAUUCAGAUUACCAAGUGUUAAAGCGAUGCAGAGUGAUAUCCUUGAGUGGGAGAAGUUCAUGAAGCGCUAUUCUCGUGUCUUCUUCCGGACGCCCUGUAUUGGACUUCAUCACAUCUGGUACAAUGAUCAACUGUGCUAUGACAUGGGAUGCAACCCGAGAAGGAAGAAUGCCAUUUUCGCUGAAUUAUUUGAGGUAUAUGGUCCCUGCGAUUAUGUCAAUCUUCAUCCCAAGUAA